rnacentral:rRNA from 1 species
UACGUAGGGUGCAAGCGUUGUCCGGAAUUAUUGGGCGUAAAGAGCUCGUAGGCGGAUCUGCAAGUCGGGGGUGAAAUCCCGAGGCUCAACCUCGGAACUGCCUUCGAUACUGCGGGUCUCGAGUCCGGGAGAGGUCGAGUGGAAUUCCUGGUGUAGCGUGAAAUGCGCAGAUAUCAGGAGGAACACCAAUGGCGAAGGCAGCUCGCUGGGACGGUACUGACGCUGAGACGCGAAAAGCUGGGGGAGCAAACAGG